CCUACGGGAGGCAGCAGUGGGGAAUAUUGCACAAUGGGGGAAACCCUGAUGCAGCGACGCCGCGUGAGUGAAGAAGUAUCUCGGUACGUAAAGCUCUAUCAGCAGGGAAGAAAAUGACGGUACCUGACUAAGAAGCCCCGGCUAACUACGUGCCAGCAGCCGCGGUAAUACGUAGGGGGCAAGCGUUAUCCGGAUUUACUGGGUGGAAAGGGAGCGUAGACGGCAGCACAAGUCUGGAGGGAAAUCCCGGGGCUUAAACCCGGAACUGCGUUGGAAACUGUGCGGCUGGAGUGCAGGAGGGGUAAGCGGAAUUCCUAGUGUAGCGGUGAAAUGCGUAGAUAUUAGGAGGAACACCGGUGGCGAAGGCGGCUUACUGGACUUUAACUGACGUUGAGGCUCGAAAGCGUGGGGAGCAAACAGGAUUAGAUACCCUUGUAGUC
rnacentral:rRNA from 1 species